UGGCAUGGAAAAUACAGUUCAUCACUAUGACAAUAACUUCCUUGCAAAGACAGCCUUAGAAAGUUGUGGGUGUGCAUAUACAUUCAAUCUUGAGGUAUCUUGAAGAACUAGGGAAGAGAUGAGCACAGCUGCAUAAUUGACAGUGACAGAGAUUGGAAUCAGAUACCUUCACCAUGGACUGAAAGGCAGAGAUGCCAUUCAUGGAUCAGCACUUGGCAGAUGGGGAAGAAAAGAACAUGAAACCAUGCCAUUCUGGAUAAAAUAGAGCCAGGCUUCACCUGGGAGGAAAGCACCAGCCCCAGGACCUGACCUUCUCUAUAUGCAGCUGGAGUUAUUACUCAAUCUGCUCAAUGAAAAAGCUUACCUUGGGAAGUUAUGAACAAUCUUUGGCCAAACAAGCAAGCACUUAUUGUUGUAUGUACAAAUAUUGUGGUCAUAAAGGGUUAAUCCUGAAUCUUUAACUUCAGUUGCGUGUCCAAAACAUCCUAGCAUGUUGUUAUAGAAACCACUUUCAGGCUUUACAUCUUGAAUCAUGAUUAUUACCAUAGUAACCACCACUGCACACAGGUAGAAAAGAAAAAAAGGCGGUUACACAAAUAUUCCAUUUCUAUCAAAAAAGGCAAUUUUGUUUUCAAGUACAUUUGUAUCAGCAAAAACAAGGAAAGUAAAUUAACAACUUAUUUCCUGAAGCAGAAGUAUUGUAUGUUAGCAUAAGAGUAACAUCUGAGUAGCAUUAAAAUUUUUAAAAUGCUGUUUUGGAAACACUUUAAGAUUAAAGCUUCAAAUUACAGAA